rnacentral:lncRNA from 1 species
GCGGCCGCGCUAUGACCCCUGCGGUGACCUGUGCACACACGUGUACAUAUGUAUAGGUACGAGACUCGCGGCCUUCCGCUGCGCCCUCGGGCGACCGGGGGCCCGGUUUGUAUGUACAUAGAUGUAUAGGUGUCAGGCAGAGGCGGAGGUGCCAGUCCGGGCUUGAGAGGCCGAGCCCUCGAGGGCGCGGGCGAGAGUGUGCGUGGCUUCGCAGGAUCAUUCCCCAGCCGCACUUCUGCAGCCAACUUUUAAGGAGAGCGGUUGUUAGCGCCAGCAGUUGGUGUUUGCUUUGCACUUCGGAACCUGUUGCGUUUUGACCCACGGAGGUGGAGGAGAAACUUUAUGACAUGUUGGGCUUUCCAGUUUUGUUGGUUGGAUUUUGCUUUUUGCGUUUCAUCCUUCCUCUCCCCGGUCCCACUUGGUCCCUGUUGCAUGCGCUCGGUUCUGAUGUUCGGUCUGAAAUAGCUGGCCAAGGGGAGAGCCGGUGUCUUUAGCCUCUUAGAGUAGGGUGGCUCGGGGCUGCCUUACUCCGCGAUUAUACCUUGAAUUCUGCAGACCUCUGCAGAACACUCCCCGGAUCUAUUCUUGACCAGUGAGUGACCAGCUCGAAUCCGGCCUUUUGUAUGAGACAUGAUCACCGUUCCUUUUGUUUCAUCCCAUGUGCAAAUCAAAGCAAGACCUUUUAUUUUCCUUCUUCUCCCCAAGAACAAGAAAUGCAAAAAAAAAAAAAAAAUACGUGUGAGGUGGAAGUUCGGUAAUCUACCCCUGAAUUAUCUACUAGAAGUCUCUCUGAGUCCGCUGGCUUGGACUUGUGAUGCAGUUUACGAACGUGUGGAAAGUACACAUGCUAUUUCCCCUCAAGGCUGAGUUCACCUUACGAUUGUAAAUGUGUGUGUGUCAGUGAAAACAUUGAGCCUUGGGAAAUGCGUUAUUUUCGUUGCCCUAAAUUUGAGUCGGUUUUGGACUCAAUACAUGUUGAACAAAUGUCAAAGUUAACUUUUAAGAAUUGCGGAACUUUCAGAAUCGCAAUUUUAUCUAAUAUUAAAUCAGACUUUUUUGUCUGGGUCGUAAUUAUAUAUUUAUUACUUAGCAAAACUGGAAAAAAAAACCCAGAAAGCAUAGAAUUGUUUUUGAAAGCUGCCUCUCAUCGACU